rnacentral:rRNA from 1 species
UACAGAGGUGGCAAGCGUUGUUCGGAUUUACUGGGCGUAAAGGGCGCGUAGGCGGCCACCGCAAGUCGACUGUGAAAUCUCCGGGCUUAACUCGGAACGGUCAACUGAUACUGCGCGGCUAGAGUGCGGAAGGGGCAACUGGAAUUCUCGGUGUAGCGGUGAAAUGCGUAGAUAUCGAGAGGAACACCUGCGGCGAAGGCGGGUUGCUGGGCCGACACUGACGCUGAUGCGCGAAAGCCAGGGGAGCGAACGGG